GCUUAAAGCGCGUUCACAACAAGGAGGUGGAGUCUGCCACAAAGAGCAGGUCACGUGUGAGUCCAAUUUAGAGCAUUGUUCUCCAUGGUGAAUGAUUGGAGUAACCCUGAACAUCUGGCCUGGUGUUCCUACUUAAGCCACUGCUGCUUCUCCCUUCAGGCACCUGUUCUGUUUUGGUUUUGAUAUGCUGCCUUAGUUAGUUUCUUCUUUCCAACACCCAUACACAUAUACACACACACCAUUCAGCAUUUACACAUCCUACUGAGACCACUGACGUCCACACUUCACACUUUAAUUACUUAGCACAUUCUGUAAUUUGGUUCAGUUGGCACUUUAUACUGAUUUAAUUUGGUUUCAUUGAUGACAUUUGGUUUCAUUCUGUAAUAAAGAUUUCUUUUGUUACACAUUCA